rnacentral:rRNA from 1 species
GUGUCAGCAGCCGCGGUAAAACGUAGGAGGCAAGCGUUAUCCGGAUUUACUGGGCGUAAAGCGCGUGCAGGCGGUUUGGGAAGUUGGAUGUGAAAGCUCCCGGCUCAACUGGGAGAGGUCGUUCAAGACUCUCAGACUCGAGGAUGGUAGAGGGAGGUGGAAUUCCGGGUGUAGUGGUGAAAUGCGUAGAUAUCCGGAGGAACACCAGUGGCGAAAGCGGCCUCCUGGACCAUUUCUGACGCUCAGACGCGAAAGCUAGGGGAGCAAACGGGAUUAGAGACCCCGGUAGUCCUAGCUGUAAACUAUGUAGACUUGGCGUCGGUGGGUUCAAAUCCAUCGGUGCCGCAGCUAACGCGAUAAGUCUACCGCCUGGGGACUACGGCCGCAAGGUUAAA